AGAGUUUGAUCCUGGCUCAGAACGAACGCUGGCGGCGUGGAUAAGACAUGCAAGUCGAACGAGAGAAUUGCUAGCUUGCUAAUAAUUCUCUAGUGGCGCACGGGUGAGUAACACGUGAGUAACCUGCCCCCGAGAGCGGGAUAGCCCUGGGAAACUGGGAUUAAUACCGCAUAGAAUCGCAAGAUUAAAGCAGCAAUGCGCUUGGGGAUGGGCUCGCGGCCUAUUAGUUAGUUGGUGAGGUAACGGCUCACCAAGGCGAUGACGGGUAGCCGGUCUGAGAGGAUGUCCGGCCACACUGGAACUGAGACACGGUCCAGACACCUACGGGUGGCAGCAGUCGAGAAUUAUUCACAAUGGGGGAAACCCUGAUGGUGCGACGCCGCGUGGGGGAAUGAAGGUCUUCGGAUUGUAAACCCCUGUCAUGUGGGAGCAAAUUAAAAAGAUAGUACCACAAGAGGAAGAGACGGCUAACUCUGUGCCAGCAGCCGCGGUAAUACAGAGGUCUCAAGCGUUGUUCGGAAUCACUGGGCGUAAAGCGUGCGUAGGCUGUUUCGUAAGUCGUGUGUGAAAGGCGCGGGCUCAACCCGCGGACGGCACAUGAUACUGCGAGACUAGAGUAAUGGAGGGGGAACCGGAAUUCUCGGUGUAGCAGUGAAAUGCGUAGAUAUCGAGAGGAACACUCGUGGCGAAGGCGGGUUCCUGGACAUUAACUGACGCUGAGGCACGAAGGCCAGGGGAGCGAAAGGGAUUAGAUACCCCUGUAGUCCUGGCAGUAAACGGUGCACGCUUGGUGUGCGGGGGAAUCGACCCCCUGCGUGCCGGAGCUAACGCGUUAAGC
rnacentral:rRNA from 1 species